rnacentral:rRNA from 1 species
AGGUCAACUUAUAAGAUAUCAGAAAGCUUAUUGUACAUGAGUUCAGCUUAAACUCACCUUUCAUGAAUAAUUGAGAUAAAAAGCUUAUGUAGUUCCCUAUUAGGGUUAUGGGAAAUUACUAACUGCCCUAUCUCCCUUCUGUAACUUCGCCUGCUUGCUAAAUAGAUAACUUGAGGUAGUAACUGGCCCAGACUCCUACGGGAGGCAGCAGUAGGGAAUCUUCCGCAAUGGACG